rnacentral:tRNA from 1 species
GGGUCCAUGAUGUAAUUGGUAGCAUCUUAGCCUUUUAAGCUAAUUGUCAGCGUUCAAAUCGCUGUGGACCCACCA